GGCGAACGCUGGCGGCGUGCUUAACACAUGCGAGUCGAACGAUGAAGAAAAGAAUCGAAGCUUCGGCAGAAAUUCAUUUCGGAUUAGUGGCAGACGGGUGAGUAACGCGUGAGCAACCUACCUCUUACAAAGGGAUAGCCUCGGGAAACCGGGAUUAAUACCAUAUAACAUUGCGACGAAGCAUUUCGAUGCAAUCAAAGCUACGGCGGUAAGAGAUGGGCUCGCGUCCCAUUAACCGGAUGGUGAGGUAACGGCUCACCAUAGUGACGAUGGGUAACCGGCCUGAGAGGGUGAACGGUCACACUGGAACUGAGACACGGUCCAGACUCCUACGGGAGGCAGCAGUGGGGAAUAUUGCACAAUGGAGGGAACUCUGAUGCAGCGACGCCGCGUGAGUGAUGAAGGAAUUCGUUUCGUAAAACUCUGUUCUAUGGGAAGAAAAGGACUGUACCAUAGGAGAAAGCUCCGGCUAAAUACGUG
rnacentral:rRNA from 1 species